rnacentral:rRNA from 1 species
CCUACGGGAGGCAGCAGUGGGGAAUAUUGCACAAUGGGGGAAACCCUGAUGCAGCGACGCCGCGUUAGUGCAGAAGUAUUUCGGUAUGUUAAGCUCUAUCAGCAGGGAAUAAAAUGACGGUACCUGAUUAAGAAGCCCCGGCUAACUACGUGCCAGCAGCCGCGGUCAUACGUAGGGGGCAAGCGUUAUCCGGAUGUACUGGGUGUAAAGGGAGCGUAGACGGCAGCACAAGGCUGGAGUGAAAUGUCGGGGCUUAACCCCGGACCUGCGUUGGAAACUGAGCAGCUUGAGUGCAGGAGAGGUAAGUGGAAUGACUAGUGUAGCGGUGAAAUGCGUAGAUAUUAGGAAGAACACCAGUGGCGAAGGCGGCAUACUGGACUGUAACUGACGUUGAGGCUCGAAAGCGUGGGGAGCAAACAGGAUUAGAUACCCGGGGAGUC